AAAGAAAAACAAAGAGGAUGACCUACAUAAAAUGUAAAGUAGAUGUGCAGACAGCUGGGAGAUGACAAAGCACGGAGGUUGCGUGCUCGCGCCUAAUAACUGCACUAAAAACACUUCCGGUUGCUGAGAUGCGCGCGCAGUCGAGCAGGUGAAGGGCUUGCCAGAAACCUGUCAACGGUACACGUGUGUACAGUCGUGACCUCAGGUGACCCCGAUACACACAGCUAACCUUCUCAAAUUAAAAAUAUCCAGCCUGAAGCUGCAGCUGUUUUUUCUCCCUCUCACCAUCAACAUCGCAAUUUGCCUGAAAGACCUUGGUCCCAAGGUGCAGCCGGCUGGAACAACUGCCUGAGACUUGCAGUCAUUGGUUCGAACCUUGUCGUCCACACACAUGAUGGCCAGAUGCGUGGCGCGUGGGUAUAAAGCCUGCGUGGUGCUGGUGCGCAGCUACUUCCCUGCUGCAAGCCACACGGUUCGAGUCCCAGACGCACGCCUGUUGCCGUCCCAGUGUCCACUUGUCUUCCAGCGAGCCACCGCAUCGAAAAUGGCCGACAGAGCUCCCGCCGGCGGACAGAAGAAGGACACAGGGGCCCCUCCUCAACAGAACCCCAAGCAGGGAGGCGAGCAAGCCCCACCCAAGGGGAAGGAGCCAGCAGGUGGGAAACCCGGCCAGCAGAAAGGUGGUAAAAAAUGAUGACAGACUGUAAAAUCACAAAGGAUCUUUUCUUCCCUUCUUCUUCGCCCCAUCCCUUUCAUUUUCCUGCUUAUCGAGUAUACGGCCUGCGACAGAAAAUGCUACUGGAAGGACCAACUGUGAUGGGAAGCAAGAGACUUGCGUGUGCACCUCGGCGAGUUUUGUCUUAUUCUGGUUUGGAUGAUAUCACGUGGUUAACAGAAGAAAACUCAUUGAACCAAUGUUCAGUGGUUCGCCGAUCGCCUUUUGUUUUUUCUUGAACUUCUUGUCUCAGGGCGCUGACUGUUUACAAAACUAACAAGCAGCCUGUGAAAGACCGUGGCCAGACAACAAACAGUACGACUGAGUUAAAGCUUGUUUGUGGAUGAUGUUUUGUCUGUACAUAAUCGGAAGUGCCGUUGAAACAAACAUUCCGAGCAGAUAUAAACAAGAAAGGUAUGAUUAUUUUUGGUCAUGAUUACCGCGACUAUCAACGCUGCCUUAGAUAACAACAAUGCUUUGUUUGAUGAUGCAAAGAUGUACAUCCAGUUGAUGAUGUUAACAUUAAUAUCGAGUGCAUUACAAUACAGAUGUUAUAAUGGAAAGUGGAAAUCUGUAUUUGCCAGAUACCUACUCUCAUCUCGGUGUCUUUACGAGUAUGCUGUUACUUUGCGAUGUAAAUUGCCUGAAAAUAAAUGGUUACGAUGUGGCUAAGAUCCCCAGCAUCUAUAAAAAUUAUACUGCGGCAAUGUACAAAUCAGUUGCCCAUUAAUGUGGAUGUCAUGCUAACCCAUGUUUUUGGUCUGACAAGAAUUAUAGCAGUUAAUUAAGAACUGUUAAAUAGGGUUCUUUAGCCCGCAAUGGUGUUUUCAAGAUCACGAAAGUGCAAGUGGUGGUUGAUGUGUUGUAUUGGUUUCAUUUUGUUCGUUGAUACUAAACAUCUUCUGGAACCUGUCGACUGAAGCGAGAAGACGAGUCUUUCUGUGGCUGUGAGGAGUAUAAUUGUCUGAUGACCAAGCGAAGAUGUGCACAGGUCGAUGACCUUACUUGUAUCAUGUGAGUGCAGUCCCAUUCUGUCCAGGCAGAAAUAAAACUUGAUUUUGUUAAAUCUU
rnacentral:lncRNA from 1 species